rnacentral:tRNA from 1 species
GGCUCUGUGGUGCAAUGGAUAGCGCAUUGGACUUCUAGGCUGUGAGCUGAGCCAUUCAAAGGUUGUGGGUUCGAGUCCCACCAGAGUUG